AAUGUACUCCCUCCAUACCAAAAUUCUUGUUUUACAUUUGUCUAGAUAUGAAUGUAUCUAAUCACGUUUUAGUAUUUAGAUACAUCCAUUUCUAAACAAAUCUAAGAAAAAAGAAUUUUGAAACUGAGGGAGUAUAUU
rfam:Hordeum vulgare subsp. vulgare, WGS project CAJW01000000 data, contig: morex_contig_1593062